CUCCACGCUUCCUGCUUCCACCAUGAAGCCGCUGGUACGGUGAGGCAUGACCGCGCUACUGGCAAUCCCCAGCCCUGGGCCCUUUGGCUUAAGGAGGUGCAACCCUGAUUGGCAGCCAUGGGGCUUAGAGCACCCACUAGGUUCACAAUGAUCGUGACCCCUUAGGCUUCUAAGGCAUAAAUUAUAGUUGGGGGAGGUGGGAGUCCCAGCCGCCCUGGCUGCCCCGUCUCUCCUAACCUGCCCUGCCCUGCACACUUCAGGCCAAAACAAACCAGAUUCCAGGGCAGGCUGGGGCUCAUGGGCUGUACUUCCUUCAGCUUCCCAUCCAAUUCCCCCAGGGUUCAAAGAAGAAAAUUCGCCACAAGCACAGAAUUCUUUCAAGUCCCAGUUUUUAAAUUCAUGUGCACGCUGCCUUCUGCUCGGUAAUGUAUUCAUGUUGAUUUUAAUGUGUAAUGUUUGACACUAUUUACCAGUGAGUAAAACCGACAUGCCUGGAGGCUGUGCCCCUUUAUCCUGGAUCUUCCGGGAGGCCCUGGCAUGAGGCCUGACAGCCCCUGGGUAAGAAUGAACCACAGGGUCUGUCUGCCCUUCUCCCCCACACCCCGUCCCCCCCAAUGCCCCCCCCACCCCCCGGCCGGCUCCCAGGCUGGACUCCCUAGAAGGUAGGAAAAUCCCAAAUUUACAACAACGUGUGUGAACCUUGAGGACAGUGUGCUAAGUGAAAUAAGCUGGUCACAAAAGAACAAACACUGUGGGAUUCCACUCAGAUGAGGUGCUUAGAUUAGUGAAAUUCACAGACAAGGAAAGUAGAAUUGUGCUUGCCAGGGGCCGGGGUCUGGAGAGGAACGGGGACGUAGUGUUUAACAGGUGUAGAGUUUCAGUUUUGCAAGAUGAAAAACAGUUGUGGAGGUGGAGGGUGGUGAUGGUUGCACAACAUGAAUUACUUAAUGCCACGGGAACUGCACGCUUGGAAGUGGUUGAGAUGGCACAUUUUACAUUACAUAUCUUGUACCACAAUUUAAGAAACAAACAAACAAGGCCAUCAAGGGGCAGAGGUGGCCUGGCGUGUUUACCCACCCAGGGUCUCACUGCGGGGCAGGGCCAAGGUCAGGGUCAGGGGCUGACCCUCCUAUUCUUGAAGAAGAUCCCGGACCUGCCCUGCUUUCUAAGGAGGUGGCGGCAGAUGCAGUAGAUGUGGCUCUCUAGCCACCUGGGUUGUCCCCAACAUCGGGGCUGGAAGAAGCCCUGGAGAACAGUCAUUCCAAUCUCUGCAUUUUACUGAUGAGGAAACUGAGGCCAGGAAGGGGGAGCUACCUCUCGAAGUCACACAGACAGCGAUGGCCAGCUUAGAGGGCUUAUUUCUCUCUUCUGGUGACCCAGCAGCUAUGAAAGGCCAGAGUAGGUCACGGAAAGCCCUUCCUCGCAGCACCAGCCCCUUGUCACUGACCUCUGGCCCCUCUUCUAAAAGAGCACCAGUAACCUUUGCCGCUCCUCAGGCUGCAAGCCGGCUGAUUAAUUAACUAACCCUUGUUAAGGGCUCAGGCACAGGCUAAUGGGCAGUAGGUAUUCUCAUUAUUAUUUUUAAUCAGACUAUGCAAUUUUAUAGCUCCCGUCACCCAAGGCUAUUGCGUGUCUCUGUGUCUCUGGAAGUUAAUUAAGACUGCCAGGGAUGGGCUCACAGAGGGAUAGGAGGCCCAGGGCUGGGCUGCGGGAGAGCGCAGAGAUACUGAUUCCCUCAGGGCCCCACUUAAGGGGGAGAUGUGAGAGGGUUGGCAGAGGGCAGGUCAACCUGUGCUGAGCCCCAGGGUCACCUGACGGAGCCCACCCCAGGGAGGCAGGAAAUGAGCUGCAGCACUCAUAGCGGCCCCAGGUUCCAGUCUCUGGCUCUCUUUCACAGAGAGCAUCUGGGCUACAUGAGCUUAGGAAACUGCGCUCCUGCAGGGCACCCCAGUGGCUGGGUAGCCUUGCUCUGGCUCUGUCAUCCAGGCUGGAGUGCAGUGGCCCCAUCAGGGUUCACUGCAGCCUCCGCCUCCUGGGCUCAGCUUUCCAAAUAGCUAGGAUUACAGGAAAGCACCACCAUGCCCAGCUAAUACUGAUUGAUUGAUUGAUUGAGACAAGGUCUUGCUCUAUCACCCAGGCUAAAGUGCACUGGUGCAAUUAUAGCACGCUGCCAC
rnacentral:lncRNA from 1 species